rnacentral:tRNA from 1 species
UGGGGUUAUAACUCAGUAGCAGAGAGUUUGCCUAACAUGCUCGAGGCCCUAGGUUCAAUCCCUAGUACUGCAA